ACUGGGUAGGAGAGCGUCCCACGGGGGGCGAAGCGGCGGCGCAAGCCGGCCGUGGAUUCCGUGGGAGUGAGAAUGCAGACAUGAGUAGCGAAAGCGGGGUGAGGAUCCCCGCCGCUGGAUGACCAAGGGUUCCAGGGCCACGUUCAUCGUCCCUGGGUGAGUCGGGUCCUAAGGCGAGGCCGACAGGCGUAGUCGAAUGGAUGAACGGGUCGAUAUUCCCGUACCGGCUGGCGACCGAUCAAACCGAGGCGGCGAGUACUAACCUUCGUCCUUCCGUGAGGCGUCCUUCGGGGCGUGGAUCGGGUGGGUGUCGGGAGCGUAGCCGUAGUAGGUCAGCGCAGGAGUGACACGGAAGGGUGGCCGGCUCCGGAGGUGGUUUUCCGGGGCCAAGCACGCGGCCCGUCCCCCAGGCAAAUCCGGGGGGCGUGAGGGUGAGGUGCGAUGGGACGCGCGUAUGCGUGGAUCCGGUGAUCCCGGCCGUCGAGAAAAGCUUCGGCGUGAGGGCGUCAGUCCGCCCGUACCCCAAACCGACACUGGUGGUCAGGUAGAGAAUACCAAGGCGAUCGAGCGAAUCCUGGUCAAGGAACUCGGCAAAUCACUCCCGUUCCUUCGGUUUAAGGGAGACCCCCGAUGGUGAACCAACCUGCUUGGGGAGCUGUUGGGGGUGGCACAGACCAGGGGGUAGCGACUGUUUACCAAAAACACAGGUGCAUGCGAAGACGCAAGUCGCUGUAUAUGCACUGACGCCUGCCCGGUGCCGGAAGGUUAAGAGGAUCCGUCAUCCCUUCGGGGGGAAGCGGUGAAUUCAAGCCCCGGUAAACGGCGGUGGUAACUAUAACCAUCCUAAGGUAGCGAAAUUCCUUGUCGGGUAAGUUCCGACCUGCACGAAUGGCGUAACGACUUCCCCACUGUCUCGACCAGGAGCUCGGCGAAAUUGCAGUACGAGUAAAGAUGCUCGUUAAGCGCAGAAGGACGAAAAGACCCCGGGACCUUUACUAUACCUUGGUAUUGGCAUUCGGUGUGGAUUGUGUAGCAUAGGCGGGAGACUUCGAGGCGUGGCCGCCAGACCGCGCGGAGUCGCAAGGUGAAAUACCGCUCUGUUCGCAUUGGAUGUCUAACCACGGCCAGUCAUCCUGGUCUGGGACAGUGCCUGGCGGGUAGUUUAACUGGGGCGGUUGCCUCCCAAAGAGUAACGGAGGCGCCCAAAGGUUCCCUCAGCCCGGUUGGCAAUCGGGUGUCGAGUGCAAGUGCACAAGGGAGCUUGACUGCGAGAGCGACGGCUCGAGCAGGGACGAAAGUCGGGACUAGUGAUCCGGUGCCGGUGUACGGACGCGGCAUCGCUCAACGGAUAAAAGGUACCCCGGGGAUAACAGGCUGAUCAUUCCCAAGAGUCAAUAUCGACGGGAUGGUUUGGCACCUCGAUGUCGGCUCGUCGCAUCCUGGGGCUGGAGCAGGUCCCAAGGGUUCGGCUGUUCGCCGAUUAAAGCGGCACGCGAGCUGGGUUCAGAACGUCGUGAGACAGUUUGGUCUCUAUCCUCU
rnacentral:rRNA from 1 species